rnacentral:rRNA from 1 species
UACGGAGGGUGCAAGCGUUAUCCGGAUUCACUGGGUUUAAAGGGUGCGUAGGUGGGCAAGUAAGUCAGUGGUGAAAUCCCCGGGCUCAACCUGGGAAUGGCGAUGGAUACUGGCGAGCUAGAGUGAGGUAGAGGAGAGUGGAAUUCCCGGUGUAGCAGUGAAAUGCGUAGAGAUCGGGAGGAACAUCAGUUGCGAAGGCGGCUCUCUGGACCAUCACUGACACUGAGGCACGAAAGCGUGGGGAGCAAACAGG